AUUGGUGAAGGUGCAGCCUCAGUAGCUGUUGAAGGCCAGAUAGACUGAAGGAGUCAUGAAGAGAAACCGAGGCUCGGCAUCAUGAAUAAAUCCUAGGACAUUGGUAAAAGCACAGCCCAGUUGCAGUCAAAGAUCCCAGCAUUGUGGAGAUGCCAGUACCUUGGCAUGAUCACCAAGAGCAGCAGUGGCCAUAGAAUGGCGCCUACCCGAGCUUAGAGGACAAGCUGUGUGUGCUACAGAGGAGCUGGAGAAGUGGCCCAAGCCCCUUGUAGGAGGCCAGAAGAUGGUUAGUGAAUCCCAGGUUUGAUUUGAUGGAUAAAAUUCAAACACAGUGGAUCAAUGUCUCUGAUCUAGAGUCAUAAAAGGGGAACCUCCAGCCAUCAGGAAAAUAAAGGACACCUACCACAGACUCUUGGAUAUUCUAUAAUUGGUGGAAUUUACAAUCUCUCGAGCAGAGCAGUAGAAGAAAUCAACUCUGGUGCUAGGAAAUGCAUUUCCUUUUGCUGGUAGAUGAAUCAAUCAUAACUAUUUCCUACAAGGGGAGCAAAAAAAUGCAGACUACAACCCCCCCUCCCAUUAUUAAAAGUGGAAAGGAGAGAGCAUUGCAUUCUUCUGAAUUCAUCCAUUGUGACAAGAAUCCCCAAGAAAAACAACAUAAAGAUUCAUAGAUCCAGAAAUAUAUAAUCCUUGGUCAAUUGGCUUUGUUUUGGGGUCAGUGAAGAAAUACUCCAGGACAGUGGGACAUGAUAGAGGAAAGCUGCUCACCUCAUGGAAUACAGACAGACAGACAGACAGACAGAUGCACACACACACACACACACACACACACACACACAGACACAUGAACAUGGACAGGGACACGGACACCAGCACAAAGAGACAUACAAACAGAGACAACAGAAGCAGAUGGGAACAGGAUGGAGUUAAGGAUUUGCAUCUGCUCCUCCCAGUGACCUACCUCCUCGGAGUAAGGCUCUAGAUUCUACAGUGUCUAACUGACUCACUCAACUGUGAACUUCCACAAGUACUGACUCACUGAUAAGAUCAGAGUCCUCGGAAUUCAACCAUGCUCCAAAGCAUUACCUUAGAGUGGUCCUGUGGCCAAACUUUCAAUGUGUGAACCUUCGGAAGACUUUCUAGGUCUAAACUGCGUACUGCUUAGCUCUUACCUUGAAAGGCUUAACACUUCAUGUGACGACUGGCAAUUGACAUCAUCUUUAAGAAUGCACCUAUGGGUACACAAAUUCAGAAGGGUAGAAGAGAAUCUUAGACUGUCUGUGUCUGUAUAAGAAAAAGAAGAGAUGCAAGAUACAUCCAAAUGCAGGAGAAAGGCCAGUUAAGGACAAAAGGAAGGUGGCCCUGUGCAACCAGCAAGAAUCACUGAGGUUCUCCAUUCCCGAUUUCCAGCUAAGAGAACUGAGAGAAAAAGAAAGGCUUUGAAAAUAAAGAAAGCAGCAUAAGCCAGCAUGGUUGCCAACACUUGGAAUCCAUGUGAGAGAGCCCAAGGCAGGAAGAUCGAGAAUUGGAGGCCAGUUUGGGCUACAAAGCUGAACACUGUUGAAGAAGGAGGACGAGGUCUAUAAAAUGAACAUUUUGGUUUUUAUUCAUAAUUAAGAAAAUACCAUGGUGAGGCACUCGUAAUAGGUCACAUAAAAGUUGUAUGAUUUUGUUAUUGCCCUUAUGCAUGCUACCUAAGUGCAUGUCCACAGAAAUAUCAGUUAUAUCUGAAGAUUCACUUCACGUUAUUUGCGUCUUCAUUUUUUCUUAGAAUAUUGAAAAAAAGCGAAGACACAAGUUCCGCGUGAUGUUUGAAAGGUGAAACCAUUGGAGUCCUAGAGAACUGCCAUUUGGGAAUGAGCAGUGCAUGAUUUAUAAUACCCUGUAACAUCUGGAGGUUGAUUUGCAUAAGGGGUAAAAUGAUUUGCUUCUGAAAGGACUUGGAAAUGACUGAAAUUCACACCCAAGGGCAAUCUCCUUCAGCCCUACAUUGGUGGGCAGAAUUUACUUCUAGCAACUCAGGCUUCAUGUCCUGGAACUCUUUUUCCAGGAGUAUGCAGGCUGCUCCUCCACUUCAUCUUUUGGCAAACUCGGGGAGCGGUGUAGGAUCGCAAGAAAGGCACAGUGGCUACCGAAAUGGCUUGUUUUUUACCUCUAUUUUUCCCCCGAUAAUUAUCAAAGUUUGAUAAUAUGUGUGAUUAAUAAACAGUUCCAUCGUGCUCUGCAGAAUCAGAGAUGGAAAUGAACU
rnacentral:lncRNA from 1 species